rnacentral:pre_miRNA from 1 species
AGAAGGAACAGCCCCAGUGGCGGGGCCAGCUCUGGAGCCCUGGAGUCAGCUCGGGCAGGAACUCCGAAGCUCUCCGUCUGCAGGGCCUGGAGGCUCCGGGGCGGG